GCCGGGCAUGGUGGUGGGUGCCUGUAAUCCCAGCUACUCAGGAGGCUGAGGCAGGGGAAUCUCUUGAACCCAGGAGAUGGAGGUUGCAGUGAGCCCCUGCCACUGCACUCCAGCCUGGGUGACAGAGUGAGACUCUGUCUAAA
rnacentral:SRP_RNA from 1 species